rnacentral:piRNA from 1 species
UCUUUUUUCCCUGCAUCUAUUGUGUUCAA